CCUUCCCUGUUUGAGCCUGCUCAAGAGUUUUAAAUAUAUAUAUAUAUAUAAUAAAAUAAAAUAAUUUGAGGAUCAAGAAAUUUUCGUAUCUCCUUCCUUGUCUUAUUGACUUUCCCGCCUUCAUUGUAAGUAGGUGGUGGGCACUACGCCAUCAAGAUCGGGGUUGACAUGGGCGCUGGAGCAAGAUGUGUCUCCUGCCGCACAUCGUUGUUCUGCUGCAUCAUUUGAAUUGCAAUGGUCAGGUAUAUACUCACCGGACCGAAGUAUUGAACUGAUCUGCGCUUAUCUCCACGAUCGACAGAGGC
rnacentral:lncRNA from 1 species